AAUGAACGUUGGCGGCAUGGAUUAGGCAUGCAAGUCGGGGGAAUCCCAGCAAUGGGGGAACCGGCGUAAGGGGCAGUAAGGCAUGGGUACCUACCUUGGGGUUCGGGGUAGCCAUCAGAGAUGGUGGGUAAUACCGGAUGACGUCGUGAGACCAAAGAUUUAUCGCCCUUGGAGGGGCCCAUUGGAUAGUAGCUAGUUGGUGGGGUAACGGCCCACCAAGGCGAAGAUGUCUAGCGGGUGUGAGAGCACGACCCGCGCCACUCGCACUGAGACACUGGCGAGACACCUACGGGUGGCUGCAGUCGAGGAUCUUCGGCAAUGAGCGCAAGCUUGACCGAGCGAUGCCGCGUGAGCGAUGAAGGCCUUCGGGUUGUAAAGCUCUUUAGUGGGGGAGAAAAGCCGCAAGGUGUGAUCUAUCCUAAAAAUAAGCACGGGCUAAGUUCGUGCCAGCCGCCGCCGUAA
rnacentral:rRNA from 1 species